CCUACGGGUGGCAGCAGUGAGGAAUAUUGGUCAAUGGACGAGAGUCUGAACCAGCCAAGUAGCGUGAAGGAUGACUGCCCUAUGGGUUGUAAACUUCUUUUAUAUGGGAAUAAAAUGUUCCACGUGUGGGAUUUUGUAUGUACCAUAUGAAUAAGGAUCGGCUAACUCCGUGCCAGCAGCCGCGGUAAUACGGAGGAUUCGAGCGUUAUCCGGAUUUAUUGGGUUUAAAGGGAGCGUAGGUGGAUUGUUAAGUCAGUUGUGAAAGUUUGCGGCUCAACCGUAAAAUUGCAGUUGAAACUGGCAGUCUUGAGUACAGUAGAGGUGGGCGGAAUUCGUGGUGUAGCGGUGAAAUGCUUAGAUAUCACGAAGAACUCCGAUUGCGAAGGCAGUUCACUGGACUGCAACUGACACUGAGGCUCGAAAGUGUGGGUAUCAAACAGGAUUAGAUACCCUAGUAGUC
rnacentral:rRNA from 1 species